UACGUAGGGGGCAAGCGUUAUCCGGACUUACUGGGUGUAAAGGGAGCGUAGACGGCAAUACAAGUCGGAAGUGAAAUACCCGGGCUCAACCUGGGAACUGCUUUGGAAACUGUAUGGCUGGAGUGCUGGAGAGGUAAGCGGAAUUCCUAGUGUAGCGGUGAAAUGCGUAGAUAUUAGGAGGAACACCAGUGGCGAAGGCGGCUUACUGGACAGUAACUGACGUUGAGGCUCGAAAGCGUGGGGAGCAAACAGG
rnacentral:rRNA from 1 species